ACAAGCUUUGAACCCUGCGGCUUUUAGUCAGGUGCGGCUUUUCUAUGGAUUGUCCAUGAUUUUUGUCAUAUCGUAAGACGAUUUGUUUUGUUUGUUCCGCUGUUGUACGGCACUACGUUGCCUGGCGGAAGGGCAUGUGAUCAGACACAAAGUAUCGGGGUUCAAGAGUGGUAUGUUGGUCACAUGUCCAUCCGCCAGGCAACAUAGUGCCGUACGAAGUAGCGCGAUAAACAAACUUCAAAGUAGCGCUACGCGUUCAGCGGGAGGCGUGGAUGAUGAGCGGUGAUAAACUUGCGAAAAGCAAGUUAUGCUCAACUCCACCGGUGGAUUCUGACAGCGUGGAAAAGUGUGAAAACAUCCAUGAUCACCAACGGAUUUCGAAGGGCUGGACUGCUGCAUAAUGGAGAGGAGGACACCGCCACGGCCCUUCUGAGGGUGUUCUACUCCGACACUGACAACGAGGAUUUGUUUGGUUUUGAAAGUGACAACGAAGGAAAGAAGCUGAGAGUAGAUGACGUAGUCAUCCUGAGCCUGUUCGUAUCCGACACUGGAGAAGAGGACUUUGGUGGUUUUAGUACGCAGGAAGAUGGUGGUGAAUGACUGACUUUUCCUCUUGUUAAAGCCGUGUCACUGCACCUGAGCCUAAAAGAAAAUGGAAACAAUCACAGAGGUGAGAGUUGGGCUCUGCAUCCAAUGUUAAAGCAGUGGGUAGCCAGUGUUUCUUUACAGCAUUGCCAAGAGUUUGGCUGAAAAAAGGACUUUGAGGAUGGAGUGGAUGGUUUGAAGUGAAGAAGCACGGUCACUGGAUUAUCACAAGUGAACGGAGUCACACUACUACUGGGAUUCGGGAGAAGAGUACUAUUUGGACUUUGCACCUUUUUUCAUGUUGGGAACUGUAAAUAAAACCGACUAUCUCCAGUCAUCUAGAGCUCCGUCUGAGUCCUCUCUUCCCGCUAACCGUGACAUAGACAGACACACAGUUGAAAACUCUGUCAUGAAUUGGCCUCCGCAGAGCCCAGAGCUCAUCUUACUGAAGCAGUUUAAAUUCUCCUGAUGGAGAGCAGAGCAAAAGACAGCCAGCAUCCAAAGAAGACCUUUGGAACGUCCUUCAAGAAAUUACAAGAACACAUGUCUAAGACAGUUCAGGCUUUGCAGAAAAAUAAAGGUGGCCAUGCCGAUUACUUAUUCAUUGUGAACUAUGUUUUUGUUUUCAUGCUGUAUUUCGAUGUAUCUUUCCAAAUUUCAAUCACUUGCUGCACAAAUUUGCCAUUUUUUCAGUUUCACAGUGAUCUUUAUGCUCCUUUUUAACAAUACAAAACCACAAAAAUAGCAAGUGCGUUAUUAUCAUUGACAGCAUGUACAUUUUAAUUUAUAUUACUACAGGGGAAAUAACAUAUUUAAUGCCUGAGCGUGUGUCUGGCAUAAUAGUAAAAGAUUAAAAAAAAUAUGCUCAAAUAGAUGUGUUUAGGUGAUAUGUGUUUAUACAUCCAUUUGUCACUUAGAACAACAUGUUGCAAUGCAUCGUAGUCUGUUUUGUAAAGGAAACACUGUAAUUAAGAAUAUAAGUCAUUCAAACGUUCUUUGAAGAUAUAAACCCGAUCGAAAUGCUG